CGACCGGCGCACGGGUGAGUAACGCGUAUGCAACCUGCCCUUCACAGGGGGAUAACCGGGAGAAAUUCCGACUAAUACCGCAUACGUCCUCCGGGGGCAUCCCCGGGGGAUGAAAGAAUUAUCGGUGAAGGAUGGGCAUGCGUGAUAUUAGGUAGUUGGCGGGGCAACGGCCCACCAAGCCCACGAUAUCUAGGGGUUCUGAGAGGAAGGUCCCCCACAUUGGUACUGAGACACGGACCAAACUCCUACGGGAGGCAGCAGUGAGGAAUAUUGGUCAAUGGACGAGAGUCUGAACCAGCCAAGUCGCGUGAAGGAAGACGGAUCUAUGGUUUGUAAACUUCUUUAGUGCGGGAACAAAGCGGCGUCGUGACGCCGGAUGAGUGUACCGCAAGAAUAAGCAUCGGCUAACUCCGUGCCAGCAGCCGCGGUAAUACGGAGGAUGCGAGCGUUAUCCGGAUUUAUUGGGUUUAAAGGGAGCGCAGGCUGCGAGGCAAGUCAGCGGUCAAAUGUCGGGGCUCAACCCCGGCCUGCCGUUGAAACUGUCUUGCUAGAGUUCGCAGUGAGGUAUGCGGAAUGCGUUGUGUAGCGGUGAAAUGCAUAGAUAUGACGCAGAACUCCGAUUGCGAAGGCAGCAUACCAACUCGCGACUGACGCUGAGGCUCGAAAGCGUGGGUAUCGAACAGGAUUAGAUACCCUGGUAGUCCACGCAGUAAACGAUGAAUACUAACUGUUCGGAGGGCGACCUCUGAGUGGUAAAGCGAAAGCGUUAAGUAUUCCACCUGGGGAGUACGCCGGCAACGGUGAAACUCAAAGGAAUUGACGGGGGCCCGCACAAGCGGAGGAACAUGUGGUUUAAUUCGAUGAUACGCGAGGAACCUUACCCGGGCUCAAACGUCGGGCGAACCAUCCUGAAAGGGAUGGGCCAGCAAUGGCGGCC
rnacentral:rRNA from 1 species